rnacentral:tRNA from 1 species
UGUCCCGCUGGUUCAUCGGCCAUGAGAGCGCCCACUUCUGGCUGGGCCAGACGGUGCGGUACGAGUUCGCGCGCGACGCC